AGCGAACGCUGGCGGUAGGCCUAACACAUGCAAGUCGAACGGCAGCACAGAGGAGCUUGCUCCUUGGGUGGCGAGUGGCGGACGGGUGAGGAAUACAUCGGAAUCUACUCUGUCGUGGGGGAUAACGUAGGGAAACUUACGCUAAUACCGCAUACGACCUACGGGUGAAAGCAGGGGAUCUUCGGACCUUGCGCGAUUGAAUGAGCCGAUGUCGGAUUAGCUAGUUGGCAGGGUAAAGGCCCACCAAGGCGACGAUCCGUAGCUGGUCUGAGAGGAUGAUCAGCCACACUGGAACUGAGACACGGUCCAGACUCCUACGGGAGGCAGCAGUGGGGAAUAUUGGACAAUGGGCGCAAGCCUGAUCCAGCCAUACCGCGUGGGUGAAGAAGGCCUUCGGGUUGUAAAGCCCUUUUGUUGGGAAAGAAAUCCAUCUGGUUAAUACCCGGGUGGGAUGACGGUACCCAAAGAAUAAGCACCGGCUAACUUCGUGCCAGCCGCCGCGGUAA
rnacentral:rRNA from 1 species